AGACGUCUACAUUAGAUACCCGGGUAGUCCCAGCCGUAAACUAUGCGCGUUAGGUGUAUCGGUGACCACGAGUCACCGAGGUGCCGAAGGGAAACCGUGAAACGUGCCGCCUGGGAAGUACGGUCGCAAGGCUGAAACUUAAAGGAAUUGGCGGGGGAGCACCACAACAGGUGGAGCCUGCGGUUUAAUUGGACUCAACGCCGGGAAGCUCACCGGAUAAGACAGCGGAAUGAUUGCCGGGCUGAAGACUCUGCAUGACUAGCUG
rnacentral:rRNA from 1 species